GGUCACGAGUACCAGCAUCAAGCCCCGGCUCGCUGGUCGGCAACCCUCCUCCGCGGUGGGGUGCUCCGGGUGACGACCUGGCCGUAGUCCGACCGGACACGGCAAGCGCGGACU
rnacentral:ncRNA from 2 species